GACGAACGCUGGCGGCGUGCUUAACACAUGCAAGUCGAACGGUGAAGCGCUUGCCUUUUUGGUGGGUGUGGAUGAGUGGCGAACGGGUGAGUAACACGUGAGUAACCUGCCCUCUUCUUCUGGAUAACCUCAUGAAAGUGGGGCUAAUACGGGGUAUUCCGGGUCUGUCGCAUGGCGGGUUUGGGAAAGAUUGCGCCUUUGGGUGUUUUCGGUGGGGGAUGGGCUCGCGGCCUAUCAGCUUGUUGGUGGGGUGAUGGCCUACCAAGGCGGUGACGGGUAGCCGGCCUGAGAGGGUGGACGGCCACACUGGGACUGAGACACGGCCCAAACUCCUGCGGGAGGCAGCAGUGGGGAAUAUUGCGCAAUGGGCGCAAGCCUGAUGCAGCGACGCCGCGUGAGGGAUGGAGGCCUUCGGGUUGUGAACCUCUUUCGCCAGUGAAGCAGGCCUGCUCCUGUGUGGGUGGGUUGACGGUAGCUGGAUAAGAAGCGCCGGCUAACUACGUG
rnacentral:rRNA from 1 species